UGGAAUAUAUAGAUUUUUCUGUAGAAGAAGUCAUAGACGUGUCAUCAGAGGAAGAACAAGGGAAGAAUGAUAACAAAAAUGCACAACAAAUGACAUUUUUUUCUGAGCCCGACCUACCGAAGAAAGAUGCAGCUCAUGUCACUGGAACUGCAGUUCAAGGAAGAAAACCCAUGUCAUAUUUUAAAGUGAAAGAUUCUCGUGUAGAGCGAGUCAUAGAAGUGUCAUCAGAUGAAGACAAAGUAAAGGACGAUAACAAUGAAAAUACACAA